rnacentral:rRNA from 1 species
AGUGAACGCUGGCGGUAGGCCUAACACAUGCAAGUCGAACGGCAGCACAGUAAGAGCUUGCUCUUACGGGUGGCGAGUGGCGGACGGGUGAGGAAUACAUCGGAAUCUACUUUUUCGUGGGGGAUAACGUAGGGAAACUUACGCUAAUACCGCAUAUGACCUACGGGUGAAAGCAGUGGAUCUUCGGACCUUUCGCGAUUGAAUGAGCCGAUGUCGGAUUAGCUAGUUGGCGAGGUAAAGGCCCACCAAGGCGACGAUCCGUAGCUGGUCUGAGAGGAUGAUCAGCCACACUGGAACUGAGACACGGUCCAGACUCCUACGGGAGGCAGCAGUGGGGAAUAUUGGACAAUGGGCGAAAGCCUGAUCCAGCAAUACCGCGUGAGUGAAGAAGGCCUUCGGGUUGUAAAGCCCUUUUGUUGGGAAAGAAAAGCAGUAGGUUAAUACCCCGCUGUUCUGACGGUACCCAAAGAAUAAGCACCGGCUAACUUCGUG